AGCAACAGUAAUGAUACUACUGGAGAUAGAAACAAUACUAAAAUUUAAGACAGGAAUUCCAUUUUAUACUGUUCACCUCUAUCUGUAAGAUAUUUGCUUAGCAUUGUGGUGUUUUUCUAAACUGUUCAAUCCUCUGUAUUUGCUCUCUACAAGUUUUUAAAACUUGAGGUCUCAUUAACUAUUUUAAACCUCAAGCUUAUAGUCUCCACCCUCCACUCCUCCAGAUCCCUGAAAUUUAUGGUGAAGGAUGUUGACCUGAUGAAACAGAUCUGUGGUCAUGGGUUUGAGAAGUGGCUUUCAACAAGGGGUGAUUUUGCCCUCCAUGGAUCAUCUGGCAAUGUCUGGGCACAUGUUUUAGUUUCCAUGAUUGGAGGAUGCUACUGGCGUCUGGUAGGUAGAGGCCAGGAAACACUAGGGGGAAAAAAACAGAUAAAUAAGGCUAAAGAGAAAGGAUGUCACCAGAGUGUGUCUGGUUCCCAUAUAUCCAGAAAACAUCCCUCAUCUGCCAGGAGAUAGUUGGUUUCUAGGGGAAUGGCAGGAAGCUGAAUCCUUGUUAAUAGAGUCCAACAGAAGAAAAGGCAAUGAAUAGAUGCAAAGACGGGAGAAAGCGAACCAGAGGGAGCAGCUGUGCAUCCAAGUGCUGGGAUUGUUCCCAGAUCCCUUGUCCCCAGAGAUAGCAUUUGAACUUUCACCCUUCACCUGCCAACCAGAUGUGGUCUGCCAGACAAGCACAUGCCAUCCAUACAGCAAGUCCUCAGUAAAUAUCUCACACUCUUUUAGAGUAUUAAAUCUUGAAAGACUUUGAAGAUUGUUCCAUCUAGCUCCCUCCUGUAAAUAAAAUGUCUUGCAUUUUACCUCUGUAAAGAGGGCUCUUUACACAUCAGAUCUUAUUUUAAGUGAUUUAACACUCUUCACAACCCUGGGAGGUAGUUGUUGUCCUGGAGUGGGGACAGGGGUUGCCACAGAGUGAAAGGACAGAAGUUGAACUGGAUUAAGUUACAAAAGAAUUGUGAAAAACUG
rnacentral:lncRNA from 10 species